rnacentral:rRNA from 2 species
GAUGAACGCUGGCGGUAUGCUUAACACAUGCAAGUCGAACGGUGUCUUCGGACACAGUGGCGGACGGGUGAGUAACGCGUGAGAAUCUGGCUCUAGGUCUGGGACAACCACUGGAAACGGUGGCUAAUACCGGAUGUGCCGAGAGGUGAAAGGUUAACUGCCUAGAGAUGAGCUCGCGUCUGAUUAGCUAGUUGGAAGUGUAAUGGACUCCCAAGGCGACGAUCAGUAGCUGGUCUGAGAGGACGAUCAGCCACACUGGGACUGAGACACGGCCCAGACUCCUACGGGAGGCAGCAGUGGGGAAUUUUCCGCAAUGGGCGAAAGCCUGACGGAGCAAUACCGCGUGAGGGAGGAAGGCUCUUGGGUCGUAAACCUCUUUUCUCAGGGAAGAACACAAUGACGGUACCUGAGGAAUAAGCAUCGGCUAACUCCGUGCCAGCAGCCGCGGUAAUACGGAGGAUGCAAGCGUUAUCCGGAAUGAUUGGGCGUAAAGCGUCCGCAGGUGGCAAUGUAAGUCUGCUGUUAAAGAGUCUAGCUCAACUAGAUAAAAGCAGUGGAAACUACAUAGCUAGAGUACGUUCGGGGCAGAGGGAAUUCCUGGUGUAGCGGUGAAAUGCGUAGAGAUCAGGAAGAACACCGGUGGCGAAGGCGCUCUGCUAGGCCGUAACUGACACUGAGGGACGAAAGCUAGGGGAGCGAAUGGGAUUAGAUACCCCAGUAGUCCUAGCCGUAAACGAUGGAUACUAGGCGUGGCUUGUAUCGACCCGAGCCGUGCCGUAGCUAACGCGUUAAGUAUCCCGCCUGGGGAGUACGCCGGCAACGGUGAAACUCAAAGGAAUUGACGGGGGCCCGCACAAGCGGUGGAGUAUGUGGUUUAAUUCGAUGCAACGCGAAGAACCUUACCAAGGCUUGACAUGUCGCGAAUCUUCUUGAAAGGGAAGAGUGCCUUCGGGAGCGCGAACACAGGUGGUGCAUGGCUGUCGUCAGCUCGUGUCGUGAGAUGUUGGGUUAAGUCCCGCAACGAGCGCAACCCUCGUUUUUAGUUGCCAGCAUUAAGUUGGGCACUCUAGAGAGACUGCCGGUGACAAACCGGAGGAAGGUGGGGAUGACGUCAAGUCAGCAUGCCCCUUACGCCUUGGGCUACACACGUACUACAAUGCUCCGGACAGAGGGCAGCAAGCAUGCGAAUGCAAGCAAAUCCCGUAAACCGGAGCUCAGUUCAGAUCGCAGGCUGCAACUCGCCUGCGUGAAGGAGGAAUCGCUAGUAAUUGCAGGUCAGCAUACUGCAGUGAAUUCGUUCCCGGGCCUUGUACACACCGCCCGUCACACCAUGGAAGCUGGUAGUGCCCGAAGUCAUUACUCCAACCAUUCGUGGAGGAGGAUGCCUAAGGCAGGACUGGUGACUGGGGUGAAGUCGUAACAAGGUAGCCGUACCGGAAGGUGUGGCUGGAUCACCUCCUUU